rnacentral:rRNA from 1 species
CCUACGGGAGGCAGCAGUGGGGAAUCUUGCGCAAUGGGCGAAAGCCUGACGCAGCAACGCCGCGUGCGGGAAGAAGGCUUUCGGGCUGUAAACCGCUUUCAGCAGGAACGAAAAUGACGGUACCUGCAGAAGAAGGAGCGGCCAACUAUGUGCCAGCAGCCGCGGUGAUACAUAGGCUUCAAGCGUUGUCCGGAUUUAUUGGGCGUAAAGAGUUCGUAGGCGGUCGAGUAAGUCGGGUGUGAAAAUUCUGGGCUCAACCCCAGAGACGCCACCCGAUACUGCUUGACUUGAGUUCGAUAGGGGAGUGGGGAAUUCCUAGUGUAGCGGUGAAAUGCGCAGAUAUUAGGAGGAACACCGGUGGCGAAGGCGCCGACUCUGGAUCGAUACUGACGCUGAGGAACGAAAGCAUGGGUAGCAAACAGGAUUAGAUACCCUGGUAGUCCAUGCCGUAAACGGUGGGCACUAGGUGUGGGUUUCUAUUAACGAAAUCCGCGCCGUCGCUAACGCAUUAAGUGCCCGCCUGGGGNGGACGUCGCGAGACGAAACUACAANAGUAAGUAGUAGCGUUGUAGACGUUGCCGACGGCGACGACGAGGGAGGAGG